GGGUGAGUGGUGGAAUGGCAGACACAGCGGACUUAAAAUCCGCCGCUACCGCAAGGGGCUUGCGGGUUCGAGUCCCGCCUCACCCA
rnacentral:tRNA from 3 species